GCGAAAUUGGAAUAUGUAAUAUUAUCAAGACAUUUACGAGGGACGACAAAGGUACUGGAACAUGUGAAACUAACAUGACGUUUACGAGGCGUAAUGUGUGAUAUCAACGUUUUUUUUAUGAGGGACGACUGCGAAAUUGGAAUAUAUGAUAUUAUCAAAAUAUUUAUGAGGGACGACAAAGGUACUGGAAGAAGUGAAACUAACAUGACAUUUACGAGGGACCACUGAGGAACCGGAACAUGUGAUACCAACAUUCUCUUUACGACUGUGAAAUUGCAUUAUGUGAUCAUGACGUUUAUAAGGGACGAAUACGGAAUUAAAAAAUAACGUUUCAGAUUUCUUCAAUUCUGAUUGCGUUAAAAUGACGUUUGUCCAUUUUGUACAAAUAUGUCUGAUACUUCUUGCAGCAACCACCUGCAGCAUGACACAAAAUUCAAGAAAAUGUAAGGCGAUACAUUGUGUCAGCUGGAAUUUUUCACACGUCCAGUGCAAGGUCCAAGAAAACAUCAGCACCAUAAAGCUUUUACAACAACAUUCUAUAAGCAAAUGCGUUAAUGGAAGGACUUUUGGUUCAUUUGGAAGACACGUGUGGGUAAAGAGUGGCUGUCGAGGGACAUUUGAAAUUUGUUUUGGAGCUUAUAAACACCGACAUGCUCUGCACGAUUACUAUAAAGUUAUUCGAUAAAUUUAAGUCCAGAUUAAUGUUUUAGUAGCCUCAUUCAUUGCAAUGAUAUCGACAUGGAUUUUUGUGCAAAAUAUUUGACUUUAUUUGAGACAUUGACAUAUCUUAACGAAAUGUCUUAUAUAAUAAUGUUUUCAUUUAAAAUACAGAAAAAGUUGAGAGUCUCACAAAGUAUCUGAAGUCGAACAUGUUAAUAUGCUUCCAAUUAAGUAGUAACGCGAAAAAACUAGAGCGGCCAUUAUCACUGACGCGAGUGGAAGCGAUGGCAUUUGAUACUGGAAAAACCAAGCAAGGUCACGUAAGCUUACGCCUUCUUAAACUGUGAGGUUCUAUUAUUCUUACACAGUGUUGUUAUUUUUUCUCGUCCUUUGGGAUCAUGGAGUCCAUUCAAUAACCGAGUCUGCUAUUACCUUGCUUGGUUGCAUUCGGUGCUUCUAAAGGAUCUUCUUAUAGAUUUUAUUAUUUUAAUGUGGGAGAGAUUUCGGCACUAUGAAAACAUUUCAAGUCUUUAUAUGUAUAUGAAAUGAUUGUUACAACGUAUAUUUAUGUAUCCAUAUCAAAAGCCAAGUUACUGUAUUAUACAACAAGUUGUUUGCCUGUCACUUUAUAUUCAAUUUGCCUUUACAUAAAGCGUUUAUUUCUUGAAAGCGCAUUAGAAUUAACAAAUAAAAUGCUUUUGUUAAUAACGGAAUCAAUAAAUAUAACAUCAAAGCAA
rnacentral:misc_RNA from 1 species